CCUACGGGUGGCAGCAGUGAGGAAUAUUGGUCAAUGGACGAGAGUCUGAACCAGCCAAGUAGCGUGAAGGAUGACUGCCCUAUGGGUUGUAAACUUCUUUUAUAUGGGAAUAAAAUGUUCCACGUGUGGGAUUUUGUAUGUACCAUAUGAAUAAGGAUCGGCUAACUCCGUGCCAGCAGCCGCGGUAAUACGGAGGAUCCGAGCGUUAUCCGGAUUUAUUGGGUUUAAAGGGAGCGUAGGUGGAUUGUUAAGGCAGUUGUGAAAGUUUGCGGCUCAACCGUAAAAUUGCAGUUGAAACUGGCAGUCUUGAGUACAGUAGAGGUGGGCGUAAGUCGUGGUGUAGCGGUGAAAUGCUUAGAUAUCACGAAGAACUCCGAUUGCGAAGGCAGUUCACUAGACUGCAACUGACACUGAGGCUCGAAAGUGUGGGUAUCAAACAGGAUUAGAUACCCUUGUAGUC
rnacentral:rRNA from 1 species